UACGUAGGGCGCAAGCGUUGUCCGGAAUUAUUGGGCGUAAAGAGCUCGUAGGCGGUUUGUCGCGUCUGCUGUGAAAACCUAAGGCUCAACCUUGGGCUUGCAGUGGGUACGGGCAGACUAGAGUGCGGUAGGGGUGACUGGAAUUCCUAGUGUAGCGGUGAAAUGCGCAGAUAUCAGGAGGAACACCGAUGGCGAAGGCAGGUCUCUGGGCAUUAACUGACGCUGAGGAGCGAAAGCAUGGGGAGCGAACAGG
rnacentral:rRNA from 1 species